rnacentral:rRNA from 1 species
GUGGGGAAUCUUCCGCAAUGGACGAAAGUCUGACGGAGCAACGCCGCGUGAGUGAAGAAGGUUUUCGGAUCGUAAAGCUCUUUCGUUGGGACGAACGUGCUCUUUGUGAAUAAUGAGGAGUAAUGACGGUACCUAAAUAAGAAGCCACGGCUAACUACGUGCCAGCAGCCGCGGUAAUACGUAGGUGGCAAGCGUUGUCCGGAAUUAUUGGGCGUAAAGCGUGCGCAGGCGGGAUAUCAAGUCUGUCUUAAAAGUGCGAGGCUCAACCUCGUGAGGGGACAGAAACUGGUAUUCUUGAGUGUCUGAGAGGAAAGUGGAAUUCCAAGUGUAGCGGUGAAAUGCGUAGAGAUUUGGAAGAACACCAGUGGCGAAGGCGACUUUCUGGACGAUGUCUGACGCUGAGGCGCGAAAGCUAGGGGAGCGAACGGGAUUAGAAACCCUGGUAGUCC